GACGAACGCUGGCGGCGUGCUUAACACAUGCAAGUCGAACGGAAAGGCCCUGCUUUUGUGGGGUGCUCGAGUGGCGAACGGGUGAGUAACACGUGAGUAACCUGCCCUUGACUUUGGGAUAACUUCAGGAAACUGGGGCUAAUACCGGAUAGGAGCUCCUGCUGCAUGGUGGGGGUUGGAAAGUUUCGGCGGUUGGGGAUGGACUCGCGGCUUAUCAGCUUGUUGGUUGGGUAGUGGCUUACCAAGGCUUUGAAGGGUAGCCGGCCUGAGAGGGUGACCGGCCACAUUGGGACUGAGAUACGGCCCAGACUCCUACGGGAGGCAGCAGUGGGGAAUAUUGCACAAUGGGCGGAAGCCUGAUGCAGCAACGCCGCGUGCGGGAUGACGGCCUUCGGGUUGUAAACCGCUUUAGCCUGUGACGAAGCGUGAGUGACGGUAAUGGGUAAAGAAGCACCGGCUAACUACGUG
rnacentral:rRNA from 1 species